rnacentral:rRNA from 1 species
AUGAACGCUGGCGGCGUGCCUAAUACAUGCACGUCGCGCGCACAGACGAGGAGCUUGCUCCUCUGACGUUAGCGGCGGACGGGUGAGUAACACGUGGAUAACCUACCUAUAAGACUGGGAUAACUUCGGGAAACCGGAGCUAAUACCGGAUAAUAUAUUGAACCGCAUGGUUCAAUAGUGAAAGACGGUUUUGCUGUCACUUAUAGAUGGAUCCGCGCCGCAUUAGCUAGUUGGUAAGGUAACGGCUUACCAAGGCAACGAUGCGUAGCCGACCUGAGAGGGUGAUCGGCCACACUGGAACUGAGACACGGUCCAGACUCCUACGGGAGGCAGCAGUAGGGAAUCUUCCGCAAUGGGCGAAAGCUUGACGGAGCAACGCCGCGUGAGUGAUGAAGGUCUUCGGAUCGUAAAACUCUGUUAUUAGGGAAGAACAAAUGUGUAAGUAACUAUGCACGUCUUGACGGUACCUAAUCAGAAAGCCACGGCUAACUACGU